rnacentral:rRNA from 1 species
UUGACCUCAAAUCAGGUAGGACUACCCGCUGAACUUAAGCAUAUCAAUAAGCGGAGGAAAAGAAACUAACAAGGAUUCCCCUAGUAACUGCGAGUGAAGUGGGAAAAGCUCAAAUUUAAAAUCUGACAGUUGUUGACUGUCUGA